GGUGAUGUGGCUCAGAGGUUAAGAGCACUGGCUGCUCUUCCAGAGGUCCUGAGUUCAAUUCCCAGCAACCA
rnacentral:tRNA from 1 species